GAUGAAGAACGCAGCGAAAUGCGAUAAGUAGUGUGAAUUGCAGAAUUCAGUGAAUCAUCGAAUCUUUGAACGCACAUUGCGCCUCCUGGUAUUCCAGGGAGCAUGCCUGUUCGAGCGUCAUUUCAACCCUCAAGCCUCAGUUGCUUGGUGUUGGGAGCUUAUCUUUGCCGAAAGGCGGACAACUCCUUAAAACUAUUGGCGGAGUCGCGGUGACCCCAAGCGUAGUAAAUUUUUUUUCUCGCUUUAGGUAUCAACGCUGGCUUUCUAGCCGUUAAACCCUCUAAAUCUUUAGUGGUUGACCUCGGAUCAGGUAGGACUACCCGCUGAACUUAAGCAUAUCAAUAAGCGGAGGA
rnacentral:misc_RNA from 1 species